AUACUUACGUGGACGGGGUCAAUGGGCGAUCAAUAAGACUCAUGACCUAGGUUGGUGACCUCCAUUGCACUUUGGAGGGGUACUUGCCUGGUCGACCCAAGUGGUCGAGCCUACGUCAUAAUUUGUGCUAGCGGGGGCCUGCGUUCGCGCGGCCCCUAC
rnacentral:snRNA from 1 species